GACGAACGCUGGCGGCGUGGAUUAGGCAUGCAAGUCGAACGCGAACGUCGGGCUUCGGCCUGACUAGUAGAGUGGCGAACGGGUGAGUAACGCGUGGGCAAUCUACCCUCGAGUGGGGAAUAACCAUUCCAACGAGUGGCUAAUUCCGCAUGUGCCCUCUCUGUCGCAUGGCGGAGCGGGCAAAGGUGGGGGAUCUUCGGACCUGCCGCUCGAGGAGGAGCCCGCGUCCCAUAGCUAGUUGGCGGGGUAACGGCCCACCAAGGCGACGAUGGGUAGCCGAUCUGAGAGGAUGACCGGCCACACUGGGACUGAGAUACGGCCCAGACUCCUACGGGAGGCAGCAGUCGAGAGGC
rnacentral:rRNA from 1 species